UACACUCCUGCGGGAGGCAGCAGUGGGGAAUUUUGGACAAUGGGCGAAAGCCUGAUCCAGCAAUGCCGCGUGAGUGAAGAAGGCCUUCGGGUUGUAAAGCUCUUUUGUCAGGGAAGAAACGGUGAAAGCUAAUAUCUUUUGCUAAUGACGGUACCUGAAGAAUAAGCACCGGCUAACUACGUGCCAGCAGCCGCGGUAAUACGUAGGGUGCAAGCGUUAAUCGGAAUUACUGGGCGUAAAGCGUGCGCAGGCGGUUUUGUAAGUCUGAUGUGAAAUCCCCGGGCUCAACCUGGGAAUUGCAUUGGAGACUGCAAGGCUAGAAUCUGGCAGAGGGGGGUAGAAUUCCACGUGUAGCAGUGAAAUGCGUAGAUAUGUGGAGGAACACCGAUGGCGAAGGCAGCCCCCUGGGUCAAGAUUGACGCUCAUGCACGAAAGCGUGGGGAGCAAACAGGAUUAGAUACCCGAGUAGUCCCAUGA
rnacentral:rRNA from 1 species